GCCCCGGCUAACUACGUGCCAGCAGCCGCGGUAAUACGUAGGGGGCGAGGCGUUGUCCGGAAUUAUUGGGCGUAAAGGGCUCGUAGGCGGUCGAUUGCGUCGGAAGUGAAAAUUCAUGGCUCAACUGUGAACUUGCUUACGAAACUGGAGGACUUGAGUACUAGAGGGGAAGGCGGAAUUCCUAGUGUAGCGGUAAAAUGCGUAGAGAUUAGGAAGAACACCGGUGGCGAAGGCGGCCUUCUGGCUAGCAACUGACGCUGAGGCGCGAAAGCGUGGGGAGCAAACAGGAUUAGAUACCCUGGUAGUCCACGCAGUAAACGAUGAAUACUUGAUGUAGGAGGUAUCGACCCCUUCUGUGUCGAAGUUAACGUAUUAAGUAUUCCACCUGGGGAGUACGACCGCA
rnacentral:rRNA from 1 species